ensembl:miRNA
CUGUCUGCCUGUCUACACUUGCUGUGCAGAACUUCCUGCACCUGUACAGCAGGCACAGACAGGCAGACAG